rnacentral:rRNA from 1 species
CCUACGGGUGGCAGCAGUGAGGAAUAUUGGUCAAUGGGCGCGAGCCUGAACCAGCCAAGUAGCGUGAAGGAUGACUGCCCUAUGGGUUGUAAACUUCUUUUACAGGGGAAUAAAGUGCAGUAUGUAUACUGCUUUGCAUGUACCUUAUGAAUAAGGAACGGCUAACCACGGUCCAGCAGACGCGGUAAUACGGAGGAUUGGAGCGUUUUCCGGAUUUUUUGGGUUUAAAGGGAGCGUAGGCGGGUUGUUUAGUCAGUUGUGAAAGUUUGCGGCUCAACCGUACAAUUGCAGUUGAUACUGGCCUCCUUGAGGACAGUAGAGGUAGGCGGAAUUCGUGGUGUAGCGGUGAAAUGCUUAGAUAUCACGCAGAACCCCGAUUGCGAAGGCAGCCUGCUGGACUGUAACUGACGCUGAUGCACGAAAGUGUGGGUAUCAAACAGGAUUAGAUACCCUUGUAGUC